rnacentral:ncRNA from 2 species
CACAAGUUUCAGGGAAGGUGAAAACCCUUACUGGCGGUAACGGUGAAACCGAUGACCAUAACGGCCCACCACCGAAGCCCGCGACCCGCGAAUGCGGCUGAUCCGGUGAGAAUCCGGGGCCAACGGUCAAAGUCCGGAUGGAAGAAACGGAGC